GUUUAUCCCGGCUCGCUAUUCCCAUAUAGGAGGGAUCUCCAUCGCGAUCUGUACGCUCUUGGCCGAAGUCUCUCCAUGUGAUGUUACCCAUCGUCGCAGCCGGAACAUGAUCGCUAUUCUUUUGGCCGACCUCUCAGGAAAUCGAUGUAUGUUGAUUCAUGUUUCGCGGACGCAGGAUGAAGAAGCCUUUGCCUCCCUAUCUCUCCUCUUGGUCAUGGACACAAGGCAGAUUAAGUCGUACUCUCCUCUCCUUCAAGCACGAGAGAGAGGGUUGGAUCCUUCUUGGUGACAACAUAGGCUUCUCCACCCCCAACUCUCGGUCUAUCCUCUUAGUGAACCCCCAAAAGCAUCAGAUAUAUAGCUUCAGGGAGACGAAUUGAUCUUCAGGUCAGGAGAAACUAUGGAUUUUAUGAACGUGUUGGUUUUCAGCCACUACGUCGGCCCUGGCAUCCUAUUCCCCAUGCCUCCUGAUUUGGCCACGGCCACUAACAGGUAUAAUCUCAUAUAUGUCAGCUUGAUCGCACUAGGAUAGGAGCUUGGCUUUUCAUGCAAUUUAAUUUAGUUUGUUUCCUCUAUUGAGAUGUUGUUGUCUGGAUUGAGGUCGGCUGAACAUGCCUUUGCCGCUCCCACUACGAUUUGUUGGAGCUCCUCACAUGUGUUUGCGUUAGAGAAGAAUUUAUGUGCAGACUAACCUCUUUAGAGGGAAUUUUUUGUUCAUCCCUGCUGUAAUUAGGUCUAUCAGAACUAAUAGUUUUCUGUAUAACAAAUUGUGCGCUUCAACCAAUUUGCUCAGACAGCAAGCUGCCGGAGAUAGCCUAUUUCAAUUACAGCUGAGAGAUAACGUGUCUGAAAGUAAAUGCUAUGUUAUUUGCAUUGAAGCAGAUAUGCGGGUUUCUUUUGUUUGCAGGGAGAAGCAGACAGACCUUAGGUGGAGUACUCUUAGCUUUUUUUCAUGUUAUAUAACAGCCUAUUGAACAGUAGCUACAUCCGUACGUAGUUGUUUUCUUAUCAUGGAGUUUAAGCUCUUAUAUAAGUGCUCUACAUGUAGAGAUGGCCUAAUCAGAUGUAUAUAGUUGUACUAUUACAGUGCAAUACAUGAUACAAUAGUCGAUAUUCUGCAAGACACUUGCAGUAAAUAUCUAGCACCCUGCACAGCGAACCACGGGUCGUUUAUCUCUGCUGUUCCAGUGGUGAAAAUUGGAGCAUAUACUCUUGAGUUAAUCAAAUCAUUCAUAGAUAUGAGAGAUAAACAAUACAAAGAGAACUCAAUUUGAUGUGAUUUUGGUUCAGAUCUAGAUAUAGUAACAAUAUAUUGGUAAAUGCACCUGAAAUUCGGAACUAAAAUUAUGCGUACUAUGAAAGAAAAUCAUGUUUCUUGAUAUAUAUAUAUUGUACACACGGUUAAUGCUAUAGCAGUAAAUGAAGUAUAACAGCGGAAUUGCACUAUAUUAGUAAAAGCUUAUUAAUUAUUUACAAACUUGAUUUCUCUUUUUGUUGAAGCUCUUGCUUAACAACUUUUUGUAGAAGUGUUACUUAUGCUUUGUAUAACAAAACUGCAUCUUCCUGCAGCCAAACAGUGUAGCAAGACUGCAUAUGUACCUCUUUUAUUUACACUAAAAUUUGUCAACAAGGUGGAUAAACCUAAUUCCAAUUUCAAUUCUCUCUGAAGAUGGCUACCCGCUUUCACUAAUUACCUUUUCCUUUGACCUGCCAAAAAUGCUUAAGUACGCUUUAAAAUUAAUUUUCAGUGUUUAUGCAUCAUCAGCGUCAUAUACCAUACCAAAAAGCAUGCCGAGAGAAUUUUUAGUUCAGUUGUUACAAACAAUAGUUGGACUAUUCUGAAAUUUUGUUAAAUUAGCCGGCAACUUGGCUAGACUUGAACUACUUAUAGUUUAGCUUUGAUUGCAUACUUUAGUGAUAGCAGACGGUCUUUCUCAUUACAAAUUAUUAUUUGUUCCUGUUGUACAUAUCCACCUGGAAGAUAUUUAAUGCAAGAGGCAGGAGUUUUAAGUUGGAUAGGUAUUGCUCUUUCCCCAUUUUACCUCUUUUCUUUUUCGUCGGCUUUCUUGAAAGAUAACAAGUUGAUGUAGUCUCUAGACAUUGUACGGUGAUCAUAUUUCUCUUUAUAUUCCUUGGUCUGCUAAAAUUUGACUGAUAUGAUAUAUAUUCCUAACA